AGCGAACGCUGGCGGUAGGCCUAACACAUGCAAGUCGAACGACAGCACAGUAAGAGCUUGCUCUUACGGGUGGCGAGUGGCGGACGGGUGAGGAAUACAUCGGAAUCUACUUUUUCGUGGGGGAUAACGUAGGGAAACUUACGCUAAUACCGCAUACGACCUACGGGUGAAAGCAGGGGAUCUUCGGACCUUGCGCGAUUGAAUGAGCCGAGGUCGGAUUAGCUAGUUGGCGGGGUAAGGGCCCACCAAGGCGACGAUCCGUAGCUGGUCUGAGAGGAUGAUCAGCCACCCUGGAACUGAGACACGGUCCAGACUCCUACGGGAGGCAGCAGUGGGGAAUAUUGGACAAUGGGGGAAAGCCUGAUCCAGCAAUACCGCGUGGGUGAAGAAGGCCUUCGGGUUGUAAAGCCAUUUUGUUGGGAAAGAAAAGCAGCAGGUUAAUACCCCGCUGUUCUGACGGUACCCAAAGAAUAAGCACCGGCUAACUUCGUG
rnacentral:rRNA from 1 species